rnacentral:rRNA from 1 species
CACGUGGGAGGGCGAGCGUUGUCCGGAAUCAUUGGGCGUAAAGAGCUCGUAGGCGGCUCAGUAAGUCGGGUGUGAAACCCCCAGGCUCAACCUGGGGACGCCACCCGAUACUGCUGUGGCUAGAGUCCAGUAGGGGAGUGUGGAAUUCCCGGUGUAGCGGUGAAAUGCGCAGAUAUCGGGAGGAACACCAGCGGCGAAGGCGGCACUCUGGGCUGGAACUGACGCUGAGGAGCGAAAGCGUGGGUAGCAAACAGG